AUGAACGCUGGCGGCGUGUCUAAGGCAUGCAAGUCGAACGUACUCGUACGCGAUUACAUCAAAGACGAGAAAGUGGCAAACGGGAGCAUAACGCAUUGGUAACCUACCUCGAAGUCGCGAAUAAUUCACCGAAAGGUGGACUAAUACGCGAUAUUGUCCCGACGGUAAACGUCGUGAUGAAAGCUCCGGCGCUUCGAGAGGGGCCUAUGUUCUAUCAGCUAGUUGGUGAGGUAAUGGCUCACCAAGGCGAUGACGGAUAGCGGGCGUGAGAGCGUGACCCGCCUCACUGGGACUGAGACACUGCCCAGACACCUACGGGUGGCUGCAGUCAAGAAUAUUCCUCAAUGGACGAAAGUCUGAAGGAGCGACGCCGCGUGCCGGAAGAAGGUCUUCGGAUCGUAAACGGCUUUUAUAGGGGACGAACAAAUGACGGCACCCUAAGAAUAAGAGGUUGCUAACUCUGUGCCAGCAGCAGCGGUAAUACAGAGACCUCGAGCGUUAUCCGGAUUUAUUGGGCGUAAAGGGUCCGCAGGCGGUCGUGUGCGUCAUAUGUCAAAACUCUGGGCUCAACCCAGAAUCGGCGUGUGAUACGGCACGACUAGAAGCUGGGAGAGGCACAUGGAAUUACUGGUGUAGCGGUAAAAUGCGUUAAUAUCAGUAAGAACACCAAAGGCGAAGGCAGUGUGCUGGAACAGUCUUGACGCUCAGGGACGAAAGCGUGGGGAGCGAAAGGGAUUAGAUACCCCUGCAGUCCACGCCCUAAACGAUGAAUGCUAGAUAUCGGGAGUAUCGACCCUCCCGGUGUCGGUGAACCAAGCUAACGCGUUAAGCAUUCCGCCUGGGAAGUACGACCGCAAGGUUAAAACUCAAAGGAAUAGACGGGGACCCGCACAAGCGGUGGAGCAUGUGGUUUAAUUCGACAAUAAGCGAGGAACCUUACCUGGGCUUGAAAUAGUGCUGCAAGCCGCCGGAAACGGUGGCCGCCUUCGAGGGUGCACUGUAGGUGCUGCAUGGUUGUCGUCAGCUCGUGGCGUGAGCUGUUCCCUUAAGUGGGGUAACGAGCGCAACCCCUGUUCCGUGUUACUAUGUCACGGGAGACUGCCUUCGUAAGAAGGAGGAAGGUGGGGAUGACGUCAAAUCAGCAUGGCCCUUACGUCCAGGGCGACACACGUGCUACAAUGGAUGGUACAAUGGGCUGCCAAGUCGCAAGACGGAGCAAAUCCCUCAAAACCAUUCUCAGUUCGGAUUACAGGCUGCAACUCGCCUGUAUGAAGCUGGAAUCGCUAGUAACGGCCAAUCAGCCAUGUGGCCGUGAAUACGUUCUCGGGUCUUGUACUCACCGCCCGUCACGCCAAGAGAGCCGGGGGUGCCCGAACGUCGCCGUAGGGCGGCGGAAGGCAAAACCGGUGAUAGGGGCG
rnacentral:rRNA from 1 species